GAUCAUGGCUCAGAUUGAACGCUGGCUGCAGGCUUAACACAUGCAAGUCGAACGGUAACAUAAAGAAGCUUGCUUCUUUGAUGACGAGUGGCGGACGGGUGAGUAAUGCUUGGGAAUCUAGCUUAUGGGAGGGGGAUAACUACGGGAAACUGUAGCUAAUACCGCGUAAUAUCGAAAGAUUAAAGUGUGGGACCUUAGGGCCACAUGCCAUAAGAUGAGCCCAAGUGGGAUUAGGUAGUUGG
rnacentral:rRNA from 1 species